GAAAAACCUCCUCGCCGGAAGACCAAGGGUUCCUGUCCAACGUUAAUCGGGGCAGGGUAAGUCGACCCCUAAGGCGAGGCCGAAAGGCGUAGUCGAUGGGAAACGGGUUAAUAUUCCCGUACUUCUUACAAUUGCGAUGGGGGGACGGAGAAGGCUAGGUGGGCCUGGCGACGGUUGUCCAGGUUCAAGUGCGUAGGCUGAAGAGUUAGGUAAAUCCGGCUCUUUUUAAGGCUGAGACACGACGUCGAGCACCUACGGGUGUGAAGUCAUUGAUGCCAUGCUUCCAGGAAAAGCCUCUAAGCUUCAGAUUGUAAGGAAUCGUACCCCAAACCGACACAGGUGGUCGGGUAGAGAAUACCAAGGCGCUUGAGAGAACUCGGGUGAAGGAACUAGGCAAAAUGGUACCGUAACUUCGGGAGAAGGUACGCUCU
rnacentral:rRNA from 1 species